rnacentral:lncRNA from 1 species
GAGCAAGCCAUCAGUGAUGAGGAUGAAGAGGAAAGUUUUUCCUGGCUGGAAGAGAUGGGUGUGCAAGAUAAAAUUAAAAAGCCAGACAUACUUUCUAUCAAGCUGCGUAAAGAGAAACAUGAAGUACAAAUGGAUCACAGACCUGAAUCUGUUGUGUUGGUAAAAGGAAUCAACACCUUUACAUUGCUCAAUUUUUUGAUUAACUCUAAGAGUUUAGUUGCUACCUCAGGUCCACAGGCAGGACUUCCUCCAACCCUCUUGUCCCCUGUUGCUUUCCGAGGUGCCACAAUGCAAAUGCUUAAGGUAAUAAAAGUCUGCAUAACCUAGCUUUUAAGAAGUACUUUACUUUGAUAGGAUAAAUUCUUGAUUUAAAAAAAAACCUCCUAGCAUUUUUACUUGGUACAUAUUUUCAUUUUGCUUUCCUCCCAUU